rnacentral:rRNA from 1 species
AACGAACGCUGGCGGCAGGCUUAACACAUGCAAGUCGAACGAUGAAGCCGGAGCUUGCUCUGGUGAAUUAGUGGCGAACGGGUGAGUAACACGUGAGUAACCUGCCCUUGACUCUGGGAUAACUGCGGGAAACUGUAGCUAAUACCGGAUACGACCCUCGGAGGCAUCUCCUGGGGGUGGAAAGAAUUUCGGUCAAGGAUGGACUCGCGGCCUAUCAGCUAGCUGGUGAGGUAAAGGCUCACCAAGGCGACGACGGGUAGCCGGCCUGAGAGGGUGACCGGGCCCACGGGGACUGAGACACGGCCCAGACUCGUACGGGAGGCAGCAGUGGGGAAUAUUGCACAAUGGGCGCAAGCCUGAUGCAGCAACGCCGCGUGAGGGAUGACGGCCUUCGGGUUGUAAACCUCUUUUAGCAGGGAAGAAGCGAAAGUGACGGUACCUGCAGAAAAAGCACUGGCUAACUACGUGCCAGCCGCCGCGGUAA